AUGGAGGCGGAGGCGGAGGCGGCGGCGCUUUCGCAACUGCAGCUGCAGCUCCUUGCCCUCGUCUCCGAUCUCCGGCUCACCCGCGAGCGGGAGCGGGCCGCGCGGGAGGAGCUCCACGCGUCCAGCGAGAGGUGGAAGGCGGCGGAGGAGGAGCGCAGGAGGGAGGCUCGGGAGCUGCGGGCGGAGUCGGCGGCGCGGGACGACGCGCUGCAAAGGCUCGAGUCCAGGGUGAAGUGCCUUGAAAAUGAAAAUGAGCUGCUGGAAAGAAACGAAAAGGAUUUGAAAGAAAACAUAGAGAGACUGCUUCAAUCAAGGGAGGCAUUCAUGAGACAGUACGAGGACUCUGCUUGUUCUCUGCAAUGGACCAUCCAGAUGAGGGAUAAACAGAUUACCGUAAUUUCAGAAAAGCUGAAUUCCCAUCUGGCUUUGUUUAAUUCAGUAGGAAAGGAAGUUGCUGCGGUAAAACAAGUACUAGGUGACGUGGAAUGCCUAGUUGGUGAGAAGGAAAAUGUAGUCUCUGAUUUGAAGUGUAAGGUCCAAAGGAUUUCUGUACUCGAGAAAGAUUUUGUUGAGAAACUUAGUUUCUUGGGAGAUAAAAUUACUAGUUACCAGCUUGAACUUCGAAAUAGGGCGAGGAUCAUAUAUGGAUUGAAGGAGCAACUUGACGCUGAGAAGCUUAAAAACAAUUUUCAUCCCCAGCUAGAAGAACUUAAGAAAUCUCUGCUGGUGAAGGAUGAAAUUAUCGAGAGGUUGAUUUCGGAUAAGCAGGAAAUGCUUGUGGAGCUUCACAACAUGGAAACUGCUCUACAGAAAUUUCAAAACAUAUUCAGCAGGCUUGGGCAUGAGGAAAUGAAAAGUUCUCUGCCAGUUUCUGAAAGUCAGGAUUGUAAAGUAAAUAGCAUUCCAGGUAGUCAAGUUGAUCUGCCUAAUGAGGAAAGCAUGAUACCCAUAAUUGGUGAAACAGCCAAUGCAAAUGUAGAAUGUAAGUCGGGAAUUGACACUGGCAGCAAUCAAGUACAAAGCCCACCGUCCCUUAAGCAUUAUGCCUUGCCAUGUUCAGAACCUGUAACUGCAAAUGUUGAAAAAUCUGAGUGCCCUCCUGAAUCCGAAGACGUUGAGAUGGGCAAUUCAUCCCCCGAACAGCAAACACAUUCUGCGAAUCCAGACCCUGAGAUAGAAAAUCAGUCCUGA
rnacentral:rRNA from 1 species